rnacentral:rRNA from 1 species
AGUGAAUAGAUACCCGGGUAGUCCUAGCCGUAAACGAUACUCGCUAGGUGUCGGCCACGGUGCGACCGUUGUCGGUGCCGUAGGGAAAGCCGUGAAGCGAGCCACCUGGGAAGUACGGCCGCAAGGCUGAAACUUAAAGGAAUUGGCGGGGGAGCACCACAACGGGUGGAGCUUGCGGUUUAAUUGGAUUCAACGCCGGAAAUCUUACCGGGACCGACAGCGAUAUGAAGGCCAGGCUGAAGACUUUGCCGGAUUAGCUGAGAGGUGGUGCAUGGCCGUCGUCAGUUCGUACUGUGAAAGCAUCCUGUUAAGUCAGGCAACGAGCGAGACCCACGCCCACAGUUGCCAGCGUACUCUCCGGAGUGACGGGUACACUGUGGGGACCGCCGCUGCUAAAGCGGAGGAAGGAAUGGGCAACGGUAGGUCAGUAUGCCCCGAAUAUCCCGGGGCUACACGCGAGCUACAAUGGUUGGAACAAUGGGUAUCUACCCCGAAAGGGGAUGGAAAUCUCCUAAAUCCAAUCUAGUUCGGAUUGAGGGCUGCAACUCGCCCUC